AAAUUAUCCAGUCAUAUAAAUGUAUUGAAAUAAUACAAAUAAAUUCAAAUAAUUGAGGGUUGUCAUCUACAGGUAAAUAGAAAAAGACAGUAGUCAUGAGCAAAGCUAGCACUCAGGCAAGGCUCAGAAUUAUUUGACUGUUUGCCUGUGUUGCCAGUAGUUUACUCGUUGAAGGUGAAGAAGCUAACGUUAACUGUCAAUUUGGAAGCGACCAUCAUGACUCCAACCGUUGGUCAUCCGGGCCGGUUUCUGAAGUGACCCCGGAGUUAUCAAGUCUCCCCAACAGCAACCUUUUCCUGGCUGCUAUUUCCUCCACCGUCACUUCAAGCUCUCGCUUGCUGAAGUUUGUAUUGCGCUUGCCUUUGUUAUCCAUUUUUGUUUUUGAUAUAGCUCGUCUGAUGGGUAUAAUGUGUAAAACACAACGUUUGUUUUUGUGUAUAAAGGCUUUGCGAGCCAACAGAAAGUAAUAUUCGAGACAUAAAGCAGAUAAAUAAAUGUAAUGAAAUGGAAAUGCUUUAUUAUAGUGGGCCAAAUUCUAUACUCCCUGUCAUAUAGGCUUAUUUAUUGGUUUCAAGCAUGUCACUAAUAUUUACAAAGUUCUUAGGAAUUAUAUUUUCAAAGUAGACAAACAGCUGUCUUACAAACUCAUCUUUUCCCCUGCUUGCAGCCUCAACCGUCCACCAAAGUCUGUUCUCCUGAGCUGCCCUGUGAUCUGCCAUUCCAAAAUACAGUGAGCAGUUACCUGCAAAUAAUUGUAUCAAUCCACACUGUCUUGUCUUUGGAUCUCUUAACCUGUCCCAGGUAGUAUAAUCAAGUCUACCCAACUGAUUUACAGAAUGAAAUAUUUUUGUUUGUUUUUGUAUUCUAUAUGUAAC
rnacentral:lncRNA from 1 species